AUUGAACGCUGGCGGCAGGCCUAACACAUGCAAGUCGAACGAGUGGCGGACGGGUGAGUCAUGUCUGGGAAACUGCCCGAUGGAGGGGGAUAACUACUGGACACGGUAGCUAAUACCGCAUACCAUCGGAUGUGCCCAGAUGGGAUUAGCUAGUAGGUGGGGUAAAGGCUCACCUAGGCGACGAUCCCUAGCUGGUCUGAGAGGAUGACCAGCCACACUGGAACUGAGACACGGUCCAGACUCCGACGUGAGGCAGCAGUGGGGAAUAUUGCACAAUGGGCGCAAGCCUGAUACAGCCAUGCCGCGUGUAUGAAGAAGGCCUUCGGGUUGUAAAGUACUUUCAGCGAGGAGGCGUUACCCGCAGAAGAAGCACCGGCUAACUCCGUGCCAGCAGCCGCGGUAAUUC
rnacentral:rRNA from 1 species